GACCCCGCACAAGCAGUGGAUUAUGUGGAUUAAUUCGACGCAACGCGAAGAACCUUACCAAGACUUGACAUCCAACUAACGAAGCAGAAAUGCAUUAGGUGCCCUUCGGGGAAAGUUGAGACAGGUGGUGCAUGGUUGUCGUCAGCUCGUGUCGUGAGAUGUUGGGUUAAGUCCCGCAACGAGCGCAACCCUUAUUGCUAGUUGCUACGAGAGAGCACUCUAGCGAGACUGCCGUUGACAAACGGAGGAAGGUGGGGACGAUGUCAAAUCAUCAUGCCCCUUAUGUCUUGGGCUUCACACGUAAUACAAUGGCGCAUUAACAGAGGGAAGCAAAGGCGCGAGCCGGAGCAAAACCCUAAAGGCGUCUCAGUUCAGAUUGCAGGCUGCAACUCGCCUGCAUGAAGUCGGAAUUGCUAGUAAUCGCGGAUCAGCAUGCCG
rnacentral:rRNA from 1 species